UGCUUGGCGCGUGCUAUACAUGCAAGUCGAGCGAAUGGAUUAAGAGCUUGCUCUUAUGAAGUUAGCGGCGGACGGGUGAGUAACACGUGGGUAACCUGCCCAUAAGACUGGGAUAACUCCGGGAAACCGGGGCUAAUACCGGAUAACAUUUUGAACCGCAUGGUUCGAAAUUGAAAGGCGGGCUUCGGCUGUCACUUAUGGAUGGACCCGCGUCGCAUUAGCUAGUUGGUGAGGUAACGGCUCACCAAGGCAACGAUGCGUAGCCGACCUGAGAGGGUGAUCGGCCACACUGGGACUGAGACACGGCCCAGACUCCUACGGGAGGCAGCAGUAGGGAAUCUUCCGCAAUGGACGAAAGUCUGACGGAGCAACGCCGCGUGAGUGAUGAAGGCUUUCGGGUCGUAAAACUCUGUUGUUAGGGAAGAACAAGUGCUAGUUGAAUAAGCUGGCACCUUGACGGUACCUAACCAGAAAGCCACGGCUAACUACGUGCCA
rnacentral:rRNA from 1 species